CAAUUUCUGCUUGUGAGUUUCAGGGAGUAGACUUUUCCCAGGUCUUUUAUUGCACUCAAACAUUGCAGCAGAAAAUCAAGAAACAUCUUCAAGGUUGAAGAUUUCACAAAGUGAAUCAUGCUGAAUGUUUUGGAUUAAAAGACAAUAUACAACAGACAAUAUCAAGGUGCAGCUGGCACGCGGAAUCCUCAUUUCUAUGGGAACCCUGAUUGUUUCCAUGGGAAUGCUGAUCAUGCCAACUUUCAGUGGACAAGCAACACCUGAUUGUGACUUGUUCUCUACCUAUAUUUACCCUACUCUGUUUUGUGUUCAUUGCUAGUUUGCUGUUUUGUGUUUAGUUACUCACCACUCUCGCUCUCUGCCCUAGUUGGUCCUGUUGCGUGUUUUCAAUAUUGGUUGCCAGUCUUAACCAUAGUGCCUGGAUUGUGAUUACCAUCCUGUUGGUUGCAUUGCUUGCCUUGAUGCUUCAGUAUUCCUCAUAGGUUAUCUCUCUACACUGAAUCUGCUCUUCACACUACCAUGACGUACACAAACCAAUGAACACACUAUCCUCCAGAGCCUUUGUGAUGAUUUAAUCACUUUUGUCUUUGUUUAUUUAAUACAAAGAUAACUGUAUAUAUUUGUUAUGAUACACUGUUGUCUGCCCUGUGUUUUGCCUCUGUCAUC